rnacentral:rRNA from 1 species
UACGUAGGGGGCGAGCGUUGUCCGGAUUUAUUGGGCGUAAAGAGCUCGUAGGCGGCUUAGCAAGUCGGGUGUGAAAACUCCAGGCUCAACCUGGAGACGCCACUCGAGACUGCUAUGGCUAGAGUCCGGUAGGGGACCACGGAAUUCCUGGUGUAGCGGUGAAAUGCGCAGAUAUCAGGAGGAACACCGGUGGCGAAGGCGGGUCUCUGGGCCGAUAUCGUGCGCUGAGGAGCGAAAGCGUGGGGAGCGAACAGG